rnacentral:rRNA from 1 species
GGAAUUUUCCACAAUGGACGAAAGUCUGAUGGAGCAACGCCGCGUGCAGGAUGAAUGCCCUUGGGUUGUAAACUGCUUUUAUAAGUGACGAAUAUGACGGUAACUUAUGAAUAAGGACCGGCUAACUCCGUGCCAGCAGCCGCGGUCAUACGGAGGGUCCAAGCGUUAUCCGGAAUUACUGGGCGUAAAGAGUUGCGUAGGUGGCAUUGUAAGUAGAUAGUGAAAGCGUUCGGCUCAACCGAAUAUACAUUAUCUAAACUGCAAAGCUAGAGGACGAGAGAGGUUAUUAGAAUUCCUUGUGUAGGAGUGAAAUCCGUAGAUAUAAGGCGGAAUACCGAUGGCGUAGGCAGAUAACUGGCUCGUUCCUGACACUAAGGCACGAAAGCGUGGGUAGCAAAC